GCGGCGGUCGUCUAGCCUGGUCUAGGACGCCGGCCUUCCGAGCCGGAAAUCCCGGGUUCAAAUCCCGGCCGCCGCACCA
rnacentral:tRNA from 1 species